rnacentral:lncRNA from 1 species
UUUGUCUCACUCGCUAUACGUUGUUGGUUGGUCAUUGUCUGAAUUCUUCACUCGCUUACUCAUAUUUCUGAGAAUCUCAGGACAAUGGAGAAUGAAUUGUACUUGGAUGGUGAGGAUUGCCUUUUUCAUCGUGAUCAUCUCGGCAGAAGCUUCCAUUCACGAGUACAAGAACCAAAGCUUCACUUCGGAACUAAAUGGUCG